GACGAACGCUGGCGGCGUGCUUAACACAUGCAAGUCGAACGGAAAGGCCCGGCUUUUGUUGUGUGCUCGAGUGGCGAACGGGUGAGUCACACGUGUGUAACCUGCCCUUGACUGUGGGAGAUCUUCAAGAAACUCGGGCGACUACCGCUUAUUAUCUCUUGCUCCGCGGUGUGGGUUGGCAAGUUUCGGCGGUUGGGGCUGUAAUCGCUGGUUAUCGGCUGGUUGGUGUGGUAGUGGCUUACGAAGGCUGCGAAGGGUAGGCGGCCUGAGAGGCUGAACGGGCACCUGGCGACUGAGAUAAGGCGCAGAAGCAUACGGGAGGCAGCAGUGGGGAAUCUUGCACAGUGGCAGGAAGCCUGCGGCGGCGAUGCCGGGUGCGGGAUGCCGGCCUUCGGGUGGUAAACAGCUUUCGACUGUGAUGAAGCGGGCGUGACGGUAAUGGGUAAAGAAGCACCGGCUAACUACGUG
rnacentral:rRNA from 1 species